CAUGGGUGAGGCCAGCCAUCUAGCCCCAGUGACAUUUUCAGAAGACCAGAGAGAGCACCAGGCAGCGUUCUGUACAACUUCACGAAAGAAUGCCAGGAUCACAUUGUCAAGUCUCUAGGCUUCCAGAAAUUGGCCAGGCAUAGCAGCACAUGCCUUUAAUCCCAGCACUGGAGAAUUUGAGGCUAUCCUGGUCUGUGUUAUGUGUGUAUAUUCACGUGUAUGACCCAGGUUUGGUUCCCGGCCCCCGUGUCAGGUGUCUGUAACUGCCUGCAACUCCAGCUCCAAAGGAUGGCCUCUGAGGGUACACGCAUGCAUGUGCACACAUACACAGUUAAAAAUAAAGUAAAUCUUUAAAAACUGAAGAGUAAAUAGAGACACAAAAUCAGUCCUUUGCCUCCACAGACCUUGAGUGUACACAUUAGGCAGAAAGAAAGCAUCAUAGAAUCAUUGAUAUAUAGUAUAAAAUGUAAGAGAACAGUGAUGGGUGUGCGGGUUCAUGGCUGUAAGCAUAUUUUUCAAGACUGAGACAGAAGAAGUGAUUUCUGGGUCAGCAUGGACUAUCUGGUAAACUCCUGUCUCAAACA